AGCUUGCUUUCUCGAGCGAGUGGCGAACGGGUGAGUAACGCGUGAGGAACCUACCUCACACAGGGGGAUAACAGUUGGAAACGGCUGCUAAUACCGCAUAAGCGCACAGUACCGCAUGGUACGGUGUGAAAAACUCCGGUGGUGUGAGAUGGACCCGCGUCUGAUUAGCUAGUUGGCAGGGCAGCGGCCUACCAAGGCGACGAUCAGUAGCCGACUUGAGAGAGUGAUCGGCCACAUUGGGACUGAGACACGGCCCAAACUCC
rnacentral:rRNA from 1 species